AUGAGAUUGUGGGGUCUUCUCCUUUGCCUGGUGACAGCUCCACAAGGUGUCCUGUCUGAGGUGCAGCUGCAGGAGUCGGGCUCAGGACUGGUGAAGCCCUCGCAGACCCUCUCCCUCACCUGCACCGUCUCUGGUGACUCCAUCACAACCAGUGAUUAUGGUUGGAGCUGGAUCCACCAGCUCUCAGAGAAGGGGCUUGAGUGGAUGGGACGCAUCAGUUAUAGUGGUGGUACAGCUUAUAGCUCAUCCCUCAAGAGCCGCAUCUCCAUCACCAGAGACACGUCCACUAACCAGUUCUCCCUGCAGCUGAGCUCUGUGACCGACGAGGACACUGGCGUGUAUUAA